CUUCUUCGAUCUGCUGCGGGCAGAUGAAAUGGAUAUGCGCAUCCAUACCGCCGGCGGUCAGUAUCUUGCCCUCGCCGGCGAUCGCCUCGGUCGAGGGGCCGACGAUGAUCGUCACACCCGGCUGCGUAUCCGGAUUGCCAGCCUUGCCGAUCGCAUGGAUGCGGCCGUCCUUGAGACCGACAUCAGCCUUGUAGACGCCGGAAUGGUCGACAAUCAGCGCAUUGGUGAUCACGGUGUCGACCGCGCCCUCCGCCCGCGUCGCCUGGCUCUGGCCCAUGCCGUCGCGGAUG
rfam:Rhizobium sp. YS-1r CONTIG.10, whole genome shotgun sequence.